rnacentral:rRNA from 1 species
UACGGAAGGCAGCAGUGGGGAAUAUUGCACAAUGGGCGCAAGCCUGAUGCAGCCAUGCCGCGUGUAUGAAAAAGGCCUUCGGGUUGUAAAGUACUUUCAGUCGUGAGGAAGGUGUUAAGGUUAAUAACCUUAGCAAUUGACGUUAGCGGCAGAAGAAGCACCGGCUAACUCCGUGCCAGCAGCCGCGGUAAUACGGAGGGUGCGAGCGUUAAUCGGAAUUACUGGGCGUAAAGGGCACGCAGGCGGUUAAUUAAGUUGGAUGUGAAAUCCCCGGGCUUAACCUGGGAAUGGCAUUCAAGACUGGUUAGCUAGAGUCUUGUAGAGGGGGUAGAAUUCCAUGUGUAGCGGUGAAAUGCGUAGAGAUGUGGAGGAAUACCGGUGGCGAAGGCGGCCCCUGGGACAAAGGACUGACGCUCAUGUGCGAAAGCGUGGGGAGCAAACAGGGAUUAGAUACC